AUUGAACGCUGGCGGCAGGCCUAACACAUGCAAGUCGAGCGGUUGAAGGGAGCUUGCUCCUGGAUUCAGCGGCGGACGGGUGAGUAAUGCCUAGGAAUCUGCCUGGUAGUGGGGGAUAACGUCCGGUAACGGGCGCUAAUACCGCAUACGACCUGAGGGAGAUAGUGGGGGAUCUUCGGAACUCUCGCUUUCCGAUGAGCCUAGGUCGGAUUAGCUAGUUGGUGGGGUAAAGGCCUACCAAGGCGACGAUCCGUAACUGGUCUGAGAGGAUGAUCAGUCACACUGGAACUGGGACACGGUCCGGACUCCUACGGGAGGCAGCAGUGGGGAAUAUUGGACAAUGGGCGAAAGCCUGAUCCAGCCAUGCCGCGGGUGUGAAGAAGGUCUUCGGAUUUUAAAGCACUUUAAGUUGGGAGGAAGGGCAGUAAGUUAAUACCUUGCUGUUUUGACGUUACCAACAGAAUAAGCACCGGCUAACUUCGUG
rnacentral:rRNA from 1 species